rnacentral:tRNA from 1 species
AGGAGCAUCUUCCAAUGGUAGGAUAGCGGUCUCCAAAACCGUCAAUGAGGGUUCGAAUCCUUCUGCUCCUG